rnacentral:rRNA from 1 species
UACGGUGAAUACGUUCCCGGACCUUGCACACACCGCCCGUCAAGCCAUGGAAGCCGGGUGUAUCUAAAGUCGGUAACCGUAAGGAGCCGCCUAGGGUAAAACUAGUAACUGGGGCU